AAUAUGCAGAUUACUUGUUGAUGAUCAGUUGACCAACGGGACAAUUCCCUCAAGUGAGUAUUUGAGAUGAUAAUUGAGAUGUAGUCAUGUAGAUGACAAAGGUUCUCACUACGUAAUGAUAUUUUUGACCUCAUGGACGAAGGUCUAGAUUAAUUAUGCUUAGGAGAGGGUUGUCUCUUAAUUAAUAUAGGUGGAUGAUGAAUUUGAUCUGCUCUGUUCAUAGUCCGACUGGGUACAUACUGUAAUAUAGCAGAUUAAUAUAGCAAUGUGCAGAUACAUGAUUGAUGAUUGUCACUUUUAAGUUCUUUCGCGGAGUCCAAUUGAUGAUGAUUAUUACUGCAAGGAUACAACCACACGGGGAGUAUUAUCGCAGGUCGAAGGAACAAAUAUGCAGAUUUUGCCUCUAGGAUGUAUUACGCUGAUGCAAUUACUGGGAAGUUCUUGUGAGAAUUGCACACAUCGAGGGAUAUAGGGAUCAAGAGACAGCAAAACUCACAUGAAUUGGACUUUAUUGUUCUUGACCGUGAGGUACUCCUGCACAAAUCAGUACAUAGCUAUACCUUAACUUACUGCCUUUUCCCUAUGCAUAAUCUACUUAAAUUAUCAUAAAUAAUGUACUGUCCUUUCUCUGGUGUAGUAUAGAUUUUCUGUACUACCACAUCGCUCUCUUCUUUGUAUCGUCGUAAUAUCACUACUCACUCUAUCUUUGUAAGCUAUACGAAUAGUCAAUUUCAUACUCUCCCAAGACAGCGAUACGUCAAACUUUUGGUCGUCCUCGUCGUACUCCUGCACGCGCCCAUAUGGGCCAGGCCCAACUAAAACUGCCAGCCUCCCAUCGUUCGUCCCUUGUCCCCUACUCUAUGCUCCCACCAGGCCACCCUAAAAAAAGUCGAUCCGAGCGGACGCCUAGGGUUUUGGCGCCGCCAUGGCCGGCAUGGUCUCCCCCGGGCCCCUGACACCCCUGCACCGUCUGAUGUCCUAACGCGUCAAAGAAGAGGCGGAGGAGCCUGGGCCAAAUCCUGACGCCACCUGCAUCGCGUCAAUGGCGGGAUCGUGUUCAGGUCGGUCGCGAAGGAGAGGGGAAGAAGGGCCGUCGUUGUUGGAGGUGGGAGGAUGUGGUGCCACUGGGGAGAGGGCCCAGAGGGGGUGCCACCGGCUUGUUAUUCUUAGCCCCCCGUCCAGCAGAUCCCCGCCCGUGCCCGUGUUGGGGAGAGAGGGGCGGCCAGAUGGAAGGUGAGGAAGGCUCUCCAGGCCAAGGGAGAGUUGGUGCCCGGAGGAGCACGAGCACUUCCUCGAUGCCCAACUCAGGUCAGUGCAACGACAUGCCACUGGGACGUGCCCUGUUCGUUCUUCUCUGCUCUGAACAAAUAUGAAUCCAGCUAAUCUGUAGCUAGAUUUCAGGUUCGGCUGUGCCUGGAAGAUGAUCGAGGAGCACGUCAGAUCUGGAUCUGAUCAUAUUUUGGUCUUCCUUUUUAUUGUCUUUUUGUUUGGGAUGAACGGAGGUGAACGGAGGUGACAAUAAAUUCAGAGUUCUAAACCAGCAUGUCGUUAUAUAAAGGAAUCCUAGGAGCCAGGAUAUCGGGCAUCUUCAGUAGUCAAACACCUGGUACAUAUGAGUUGUGGAAGACAGAUGGUGCAUCUGCUAGGAAGCCUCAUGCCACCAAUUUGAGUCAGAGCUUUGGACUCCUGAACGGGUAUCUAGCGAUUAAUACUCAUGAAAGAGAAGUCCUAUGGUGAAGUUUGUGAUGUAUUUGAUAGAGCCAAUAUUUUAUUAGCUUCCAAGGAUGGAAGUUUGGCGGCAUCUGUUGAGAAUGGUUAGAUGUUCCAGUGAUUGAUGUUGAGAAUGGAUAGGUGUAUUUGACCUCAACUCUUGGGUUCAACCGGAAGUGAUGGAACUUGGCAUAGAUCAGUCUCAGUCCAGAAGUAGUACAUGUGGUUGGUUCACAAACUUCCGGUGGUAACGUGAAUCUUCAAUCGCCUAUUUUCGUUAAUCUGGUGACUUCCAUCCUUCUUCGCUGUUUGAGAGAAAGACAAAUACCAACAGAGGAACAGUUGUUCCUAACCCUGACUAUCGAUUACGAUUGGUCUCUUGGCAUGGACUUUAACAUCAACUAAAUAAGAUAUGGUAUCUGUUAGCAGAGUAAUAUCUCUAAACGGUCCACUAUUGUCAAAAUGCACGGAUAGCUGGUGCAUUUGGAUACGCAGACAAUCUUCUUGCUGCUGCACCUGUAGGCCUAUGGGGGUUGCUUCUUUUGUUUCAGAAAGCGGAAUAGAAACCCCAGACACGAGUGGAGAGGAUGGUGCAGGUUUACCACAACCUGGCCAAGUGGGAGUACUUCUGCCCGCUUACCCCAGACUACACUUACGUGUCACCAAAGCUGGGCUGCUGGCCUACGAUGUUGACAACCUGUCGGCAGUAGGGCAGCCGGAACUGAACAUUGUUGCGUCAGGGACUCCCUUCACGUCGUUCUGAAGAACCCUACAUAAUUGCGGGGCGUCGGAGCAGAUGGCAUGUAGCACAAACCAAUUUGGGGAUUCAGAAACGGCGAUGUGGGGCACGUCGGGGAAGGAAAUUCCAGUGCCUGGAACCACUGGAAUGGAUGCAUGACGUGUUCAAGAUCGACACCCAAUGAGUCAAUCCAGACAUCCAGGAAAUCUUUUUUUGAAAGAUUAGCUUGGCUGUCUUUUGUAUAUUAAGCAGAGGGAAAUACAAGACCACGAAGUGUGGUAAGUAAAAGUAUACAAAGACAGAGGACCUCGCAAAGGUUCUCUGAAGGGAGCUGCUGGACAUUUGGCAUCAGCAAGACGCCAUGAAUAAGGGAGAGAUUGCAUGCAUUAAUGAGGUUGUGCUCGAGGUUUUUUAUCCAAGUGUUCUCCAAUAAGUCUGUUUUGACAACUCGGUUCUUUCUCUUGGAGUGCUUAAAUAGCGCGGGGAAAGCUAAGCGCAGGGGAUGCGCAAGGAGCCAUGAAGACUCC